UACUUGAGGAAGAAAGAGAACUGAUCCUGUAUUCUCUUUAGUUUAAACAAGGGGCAGAACACAGCAAAGGAGAAACAAGAGCAAGCUGAGCUCACUGGAAUGGAUGGGGAGGGACAGAGGAGGAGAGAAAACUCCACAGGCUUCCAUUUGUUACAGGAAGUCCAUGAUCAACCUUGACCAUGGUACAUAAAUGUUUGGCACAGAAGGGCAUUCCCAGGGAGCCGUGGAGGACGAAAUUCUGG
rnacentral:lncRNA from 1 species